rnacentral:rRNA from 1 species
CCUACGGGAGGCAGCAGUCGAGAAUCAUUCACAAUGGGGGAAACCCUGAUGGUGCGAAGAAGCGUGGGGGAAGGAAGGGAGGCGGAUGGUAAACCCCUGGCAUGUGGGAGCAAAUGAAAAAGAGAGUACCACAAGAGGAAGAGAAGGCUAACGCGGGCCCAGCAGCCGCGGGAAUACAGAUGUCUCAAGCGUUGUUCGGAAUCACUGGGCGUAAAGCGUGCGUAGGCUGUUUCGUAAGUCGUGUGUGAAAGGCGCGGGCUCAACCCGCGGACGGCACAUGAUACUGCGAGACUAGAGUAAUGGAGGGGGAACCGGAAUUCUCGGUGUAGCAGUGAAAUGCGUAGAUAUCGAGAGGAACACUCGUGGCGAAGGCGGGUUCCUGGACAUUAACUGACGCUGAGGCACGAAGGCCAGGGGAGCGAAAGGGAUUAGAUACCCUGGUAGUC